ensembl:lncRNA
AGUAGGUUGUUUUCAUCAAUCUCCCUCUCAUUCUGAGAUCUGUUUGAUUGAGAAUAGGGAGGGAUGCUGUAAUACUAUGGACUUGGCUUAUUUUCCAAGAACACGGCCCACAUGGAGCUUACAGGAAAGGUUUGAAGAGUUAUGACUUGGAAACAUAAUUCUGAUAGCUGAGUAUAUAAAUAUAAUAUCUGUAAUAAAGACUUUCCCUUAGUGGCAAAUGACAAUUCAGUUAUAUUGGAAUUACAUCAGUUUCCAUUACUUCGAGCGUGACUUCUGCUGUUCGGUGAACGCUGUAGCAACACAAAGAUAUGACAAUGCCUGUGUCUUUUAACAUGGAAAUCAUACCUCAGCUUUACAGAAUCACAGAAGAGCUGAGGUGGGAAGGCAUCUCUGGAGAUCAUCUAGUCCAAAGCCCCUGCUCAAAACAGGCAGCUACAGCAGGUUCUUCAGGACCAUAUCCAGAUGUGUUGUGAGCUGUUCUCAGGAACGGAGACUCCCAAACCUCUCUGGGCCAUCUCUUCCAUGCUUAACAACUCUCAUGGUCCGUGGAACUCAUGAUGACUCAGACAGGGUGACAGGAGUCACAUUCAGAGAGAUGUACCAGGGCAGAAGCACUGCGAGUUACUUCUGCUUCUACAGCAAAUUCUGAGCUGGUUCUCAGCUGUGUCUGUAAUAACUGCUAGCGUACCUUACCUACACAGUAUCUAUUUGAAAUUCUGUGCUUCAGUUUCAGUUUUUGCAACAAGCAGUAACCUACACAAAUGAACCAUAUUAUGAGGCCUUCCAAUUCCUCGCGCUCAAAAGCACAUCUUCAUGCUUUUUUUCUUUUGUGUUUCUUUUGGUAUCACAUGGCAGCAAAUUUGACAUCAAUUAGAAUGUAUUUUAAAGAAGAGGUCUGAUGAGUUUGUAAAAUAUCUGGGUCCUUUCACUUGUGUCAGAGUAUCUAUUUGCAGCAUGGGCUUCCUCCUACUGUUUGUGUGCAUACACGGCUCAGCACACGGGUGCUCUGAUCUUGCAAGUUGUUACAAUAGCUCAAAUGCAAAUAUAGUGAACAUUAGGAUGUGCUUUUGGUUAUGUUCCAGAACUACAGAAUGGGGUUUUCCAUUCCUGAACUUACUGCUGGCACUUUAUUACAUACAUUUUUCCCCAUCCCUGUAGUGUGCAUGGUUACAUUUAACAGAGCUGUCUGAAGCGUUUUGAAUUUU